CAACCCUGAAUGAACUUUUUGG
rnacentral:miRNA from 1 species